CCCAAGAUCAAGAAUUGUGUGCUCUACUGAGUAACAGAAGAUUCGGAUGAAUCAGGAUGGGACUUCAGUUCUUUUCUACGGUGUGAAUAAAAAGUCAACUCUGCCUUUUUUGA